rnacentral:rRNA from 1 species
AUUGAACGCUGGCGGCGUGCCUAAUACAUGCAAGUAGAACGCAGUUGGGAACGGGUGAGUAAGGCGUAGGUAACUGCCGCAUAGCGGGGGAUAAUUAUUGGAAACGAUAGCUAAUACCGCAUACUGAUAGAUGCACCUGCGUUUUAUUAGCUAGUUGGUGAGGUAAAGGCGCACCAAGGCGCCGAUACAUAGCCGGGCUGGGAGGGUGAUCGGGCCAACUGGGAACGGGACACGGCCCAGACUCCCACGGGAGGCAGCAGUAGGGGAUCUUCGGCAAUGGACGGAAGUCUGGCCGAGCAACGCCGCGUGAGUGGAGGAGGUUUUCGGGGUGUAAAGCUAUGUUGUUAGAGAAGCGGUAACUAACCAGAAAGCAACGGCUAACUACGUGCCAGCAGCCGCGGUAAUAC